GGGCUAUACUCAAUAGGAGAUCCAGGAACUGCCUUCAGUCUCAAGUAUUCACACUUAUAAAGCAGAACUUCAAGAAAUGGUUCAGACGUCUGUGUGUACACAGUUGCAGGUGUAUGUGCAGGGUCUGGUUUGGAUCUGAUACUUCUUUCAUCUCAUCCAUUCCUAGGGAGGCAGCGUUGAGCAUUUCAUAUCUCUGGAGUCCGUUUCCUUUAGCGGCUCCUUGUCAUUUCCUAGCAGGGUUUGUCUCUGUAUGUGAAGGCACAGCUGGAGAGGGGUGGCGUUUGUCCUUUUUUUCCUACAGCUACCCAGUCUGUGUGCGUGGAAUCUGUCAAGGAGGCUGCAGGCCUGGGUCACAAUGCGGAGCAGUAGAACAGGGUGACCUCAAACUCUUCCCAAGACACAAAUCAUCUCCCUGGUUUAAAUUUUGUACUUCUUGGGGUUUUAGAUGUAUAUUCUUUUUCACUUUUUGCUUCUUGGAAAUUAAAUUUAUAAGGAAUGGAGAACUGAGAAGCAAAACUGUGUUUUAGGCUAAUGAGAAGUGGCAGGAAAAGGGCAGAAGCACGUCCACAGGUAGGGAAGGUGCUAGAGAUAAAAUGAACCAAAGUUAAACCUUGCUCAAAGUUUGCAGCAAAGGAGCAGCUGCAGGUAAAGAAAGGGCAAUAUCAGAGGCAAAGCUGGUGUUUAUACAGCAGCUGUGAAAUCAAGGGCAGGUACUAAUAGACUUCCUUCAAUUUGUAUCACACUAUAGCUGUCAUUUAACAAUAAUGUUAAAUAGCGCUGAAAGCUGAACUUAAAAUGUACUUUUCUAGACUGAUUUCACAAAAACUCCCAUCCAAGCUGUGAUAAAGCUGGCGCUAUUUAUCAACAGAAUGAGGACUGGGUCCUCUAGGAAGACCACAUCUUACCAUGGGAAUCUCUACCUUUGUUUGCUAAAGGCAUGCUGUCAAAAUGAUACCUGCUUAUUUCCUAAAAUGAACUAAAAGUAGCUUGAGGAUUACACCUGUCUUUGUCAAUUUCUGUCAUUAAACAACUCCCUGUCUCCAGUUUCAUGCUUUAUUCCCUGCUGGUGUCUAAAGGAUGCAUGCUGACAGCUGAGGAAAGCGACUGUUGUGAAACACUGGCACUGCCUGUGGGGCCGUGAUCAGCAGCAAGACUAACUGGUGAGAUGCAUUAAAGUAUUUCUGGGAGCUAGAGACCACCACAAUCAACAGCACAACUGCAGAACUGAAUCCUUCCUUCAAAACCUCACAGGCCAUAGUGGAUCGUCAUCAAUCCCCAGAGCCCUUCUAACGUCUGAGAAAGAAAAAGCUGCAGAAUAAUAUCUACACCAUAAAAUUGCUCUAAAAAUAACAGCUAAUCUCCUGUUUGAGAUGUUAAUUUAUAGAAGGAAAAGCUUUGGAAUAAGCCCCAAACCUUGUAAUUAAGUGACUUUUUUUUUCUUGAGAUAUAUAAGCAAUUCUUCAGUCCUUUGCUGAGAAAGUCUGUGCUGUGUUCUACACCCAGAUCUUCCAGAACUAGCUAGAAGGUAUUCCACACCAGUCCACAUGUAAGAAAAAGCUUUUCAUCAGUCUGAAGUAAGGUAUAAACAACCUCAGGAAGUUUGGAAUAUGUUAUUAAAACUGUUCUCUAGUAUCCUUGUUACAGGGUGUUUUGGCAUCAUGUCCUUUGGAGUAAGCUUGUUAUGUAAGUCACUUGUUGGCUAGCCUCUGAUCUGUCCCAUG